rnacentral:lncRNA from 1 species
CAGCCUUUGGAUGAAGAUGUAGAACUCUCAGCUCUGCCUGUGCCAUGCCUGCCUGGAUGCUGCUGUGCUCUCACCUUGAUGACAAUGGACUGAACCUCUGACUGAACCUGUCUUUAACUGACUGCGUGAGACCCACCCACAUUGGGAGGUAAUCUGCUGUACUCAUACUGUCUAUUCAAGUGUUAAGCACAUUCAGAAACAGUUUCAUGGGCACACCAAGGAUAAUGUUUAACCAAAUAUCUGGAUACCCGCCACUCCAUGGAGAUGAGACAUAACAUGGCUUACCACAGUGGGUGAUGGUUCCUCUCUUGAGGUUUGAGUGCUGUUUCCCCCAUGAUCCAACUCAAAGUCUUCACUGCAUUCUGCAAGGAGUGCAGUUCAUAAACAGUGUUGUGCGUCUCUCAAGUUGCACACCAGCAGGUCAAUUUGAAGAUUGACAUCUUCAUCAUAUUGAUCUUCUGGUCCAUGAAGACUGGCCUAUGUGUGACUUUGCCUACGGUUUCUUGACUCUGGCUGGCUGGCAUUUUAUACUCUCCAGUCUGUAGCUGCUGAAGUACCUGUAUUAAAUGUAAUCUUAGGUGUUGGCUUGAGACUACGUCCGUUCAGCCUUUAUUCCUGUUGAAUAGUUUGGUGCAUUGAUCCUAUCGGACGGCCAGUCCAUCUUUGGCUGCACAGGUAAGAGGAGCCUCAUUACCUUAUGUUAGAUUUCAAGAGCAUUGUGCUGCAGGGUUCCUGUCAGUACUCUACUAGACUAUGAACUUGUUCUCUUCCCAGGUCCCUAAGAGUUUUUACUGUAUGGAUGCUAAAUUUCCUGAAGUGCUUUUUUUCUGCCUCUGUUAAGAUUCUGUGAUUUUCCCCCCUUUGUUCUGUUAGCGUGCUAAAUCACAUCUAUUGAUUUUCAAAUGUUAAAUCAACUUUGAAUCUUGGGAAAAGCCCAGUUUGUGCCUGCUUGAUGCAUUCUCUUUCUUACAUUCAAUUUGCUAAUAUUCUUCUUUCAGGUGUUUGUAUGUUUGUCUGUGGGAGUGCGGUCUGCAUUGUAAUGUGUGUUCUAGAAUUUAGUUUCAUUUCUGUUGGUCAAACAAACCAAAAACAACAGUAUCAUAAAAC